rnacentral:snRNA from 1 species
AUCUAAGUGCAAGGGUCUUAGCUGUAUCAGUGAGGAUUCGUCCGAGAUCAGCUGUUUGCUAGUUGAAAACUAUAAAACAUGACCGCUUUCUCCCGUGCUUGCAUAGGAGAGGAAUUUCUGAAACCAUACCAA